rnacentral:rRNA from 1 species
CGGACGGGUGAGUAACGCGUAAAGAACUUGCCUCACAGUUAGGGACAACAUUUGGAAACGAAUGCUAAUACCUGAUAUUAUGAUUUUAGGGCAUCCUAAGAUUAUGAAAGUUAUAUGCGCUGUGAGAGAGCUUUGCGUCCCAUUAGCUAGUUGGAGAGGUAACGGCUCACCAAGGCGAUGAUGGGUAGCCGGCCUGAGAGGGUGAACGGCCACAAGGGGACUGAGACACGGCCCUU